CCCUACGGGAGGCAGCAGUGGGGAAUAUUGCACAAUGGAGGAAACUCUGAUGCAGCCAUGCCGCGUGUGUGAAGAAGGCCUUAGGGUUGUAAAGCACUUUCAAUAGGGAGGAAAAGUUAGUAGUUAAUAACUGCUAGCCGUGACGUUACCUAUAGAAGAAGGACCGGCUAACUCCGUGCCAGCAGCCGCGGUAAU
rnacentral:rRNA from 1 species